UUAUCUCUUUUUCUGGUCUCUCUCUACCUCUCUCUAUCUGGUCUUACUGCUCCAAAUUCACCAUGAUCGAUUACCCUGGACAGUCUGAAUUGGGUUGCAGAGAUUGAAGAGAUUUCAGACUGUGUUCGUGGAGAGCGAGGUUGCGAAUCACCUGGGAUGAAAAAGCCAUAAGCCAUUACAACUCGUUCGUCGUGCUUGAACCUAAGACCUGGGAUGAAGCUCCUGUGGAUAACACAAACAGGUACCAUUUUGGUUUUUAUUAUUUUAAUUUUCUUUGAAGGCUCAUUCGAUAGAUGUGGGAGAAAAAUUGGAUGAUUUUUGUUGUCUAUGGCUUUUUGAUUGAAUUUUGUAUGGGUCUGUGACUUUGUGCCUAUCAUCUCUAAUCCAAGAUCCCCAUUGAAUUUUGUAUGGGUCUGUGACUCUGUGCCUAUCAUCUCUAAUCCAAGAUCCCCAAUUUCAGCACUGAGUAGGAGGCUGAAACCAUGGCAGCGAUUAAACCCAAGAAGAUCAUCAUUGAGAUCCUGAUUUCGGCCAAAUCAAUUGCAAAUUGAAGCUGCUCUUCUUGCUUUCCCUUGUACUCACCAACUUGAUUAAGCCAUCCAUCCCCAGAAAGAUGAGAUAAAAUGAAUAAUAUCAAGAAUCUAAUCAAUUUCAAUUUCGGAACUACAAAGAAGCAAGAGGACUGAGGACUCAGUACUGGACCAUGAAUAGACGCGAUCGUUGACCAAAAAAAAAAAAAAAAUAGAAGCAAUCGAAACUCUGAUUCCUACCCAUGGUCCCCACCAUGUCAGAAGAAGCCACACACAACAAAAUGAGACAAUUAAGGAGAAAGCAACCCCUCUACAGGGCACUGACAUGAAAGAAAGUGGCUGCAUCGUGGCAAUGGAUGAUAGACACGUACAUGUGUGGCCUUUGCCCAAAUAUGUCACCAAUGGUGUAUGUGGCUAUUGCCCAUUAUUCUAGUAGUGUCCCUACCCUUUUGAAUUAGGUGGUGCACCAUCCAAGUCCAGCCUCGUCCUUUCUAAGUCCAUAUAUGGUAAGAAACAGCAGCAGUGUGACACCAGUAUCAGCUCGACUUACUACAUCCAUGGUGAUGGUAUGGCCAACCUUGAAUUCUAGUUCAGAGAAGGAAUCCCUUGGAUCUAAGGUUCGUGAAGUUGAUACAUAAAAGAUUGGAAAAACACAUGAAUAAGGGCAGAGGUUACAUUCCAAACAUCAAAGAUUUUUGGGCAAAUUUCACUCUAGCUAUGUUGCUAGGCACUCCCCUGCCUGACUUUACAUAACUCACUAGUCAUUGCUCAUUACUGAAUUUUCGUCUGAACAAUAAUUACUAGGCAGCUACUCUUUUCAUAUUUAG
rnacentral:lncRNA from 1 species